CCUACGGGUGGCAGCAGUGAGGAAUAUUGGUCAAUGGGCGUAAGCCUGAACCAGCCAAGUCGCGUGAAGGAUGACUGCUCUACGGGUUGUAAACUUCUUUUAUAAGGGAAUAAAGUGAGGGACGUGUCCCUUUUUGUAUGUACUUUAUGAAUAAGGAUCGGCUAACUCCGUGCCAGCAGCCGCGGUAAUACGGAGGAUCCGAGCGUUAUCCGGAUUUAUUGGGUUUAAAGGGUGCGUAGGUGGGUUUUUAAGUCAGUUGUGAAAGUUUGCGGCUCAACCGUAAAAUUGCAGUUGAAACUGGGAGGCUUGAGUACAGUUGAGGUAGGCGGAAUUCGUGGUGUAGCGGUGAAAUGCUUAGAUAUCACGAAGAACUCCGAUUGCGAAGGCAGCUUACUAAGCUGCCACUGACAUUGAUGCUCGAAAGUGUGGGUAUCAAACAGGAUUAGAUACCCCGGUAGUC
rnacentral:rRNA from 1 species